AGUGAACGCUGGCGGUAGGCCUAACACAUGCAAGUCGAACGGCAGCACAGUAAGAGCUUGCUCUUACGGGUGGCGGGUGGCGGACGGGUGAGGUAUACAUCCGAAUCUACUUUUUCGUGGGGGAUCACGUAGGGAAACUUACGCUCAUACCGCAUACGACCUACGGGUGAAAGCAGGGGAUCUUCGGGCCUUGCGCGAUUGAAUGAGCCGAUGUCGGAUUAGCUAGUUGGCGGGGUAAAGGCCCACCCAGUCGACGAUCCGUAGCUGGUCUGAGAGGAUGAUCAGCGACACUGGAACGGAGACACGGUCCAGACUCCUACGGGAGGCAGCAGAGGGGAAUAGGGGACAAUGGGCGCAAGCCUGAUCCAGCCAUAGCGCGUGGGUGAAGAAGGUCUUCGGGUUGUAAAGCCCUUUUGUUGGGAAAGAAAAGCAGCAGGUUAAUACCCCGCUGUUCUGACGGUACCCAAAGAAUAAGCACCGGCUAACUUCGUG
rnacentral:rRNA from 1 species